AUUGAACGCUGGCGCCAUGCUUUACACAUGCAAGUCGAACGGCAGCGCGGGCUUCGGCCUGGCGGCGAGUGGCGAACGGGUGAGUAAUACAUCGGAACGUGCCCAGUAGUGGGGGAUAGCUCGGCGAAAGCCGGAUUAAUACCGCAUACGACCUGAGGGUGAAAGCGGGGGAUCUUCGGACCUCGCGCUAUUGGAGCGGCCGAUGGCAGAUUAGCUAGUUGGUGGGGUAAAGGCCUACCAAGGCGACGAUCUGUAGCUGGUCUGAGAGGACGACCAGCCACACUGGGACUGAGACACGGCCCAGACUCCUACGGGAGGCAGCAGUGGGGAAUUUUGGACAAUGGGCGAAAGCCUGAUCCAGCAAUGCCGCGUGUGUGAUGAAGGCCUUCGGGUUGUAAAGCACUUUUGGCGGGAACGAAAAGGACUGUGCCAAUACCACGGUUCGAUGACGGUACCCGCAGAAUAAGCACCGGCUAACUACGUG
rnacentral:rRNA from 1 species